UAAGGGUAAUUUGGUUUGAAACC
rnacentral:miRNA from 1 species